rnacentral:rRNA from 1 species
GAUGAACGCUAGCUACAGGCUUAACACAUGCCAGUCGAGGGGAAACGCCAUUGAAGCUUGCUUCGAUGGUCGUCGACCGGCGCACGGGUGAGUAACGCGUAUCCAACCUGCCUCUGACCAAGGGAUAACCCGUCGAAAGUCGGCCUAAUACCUUAUGCAGUCGUCGGAAGUCAUCUGAUGACGACGAAAGAUUUCAUCGGUGAGAGAUGGGGAUGCGUCUGAUUAGCUUGUUGGCGGGGUAACGGCCCACCAAGGCAACGAUCAGUAGGGGUUCUGAGAGGAAGGUCCCCCACAUUGGAACUGAGACACGGUCCAAACUCCUACGGGAGGCAGCAGUGAGGAAUAUUGGUCAAUGGGCGAGAGCCUGAACCAGCCAAGUAGCGUGCAGGAUGACGGCCCUAUGGGUUGUAAACUGCUUUUAUGCGGGGAUAAAGUGAGGGACGUGUCCUUCAUUGCAGGUACCGCAUGAAUAAGGACCGGCUAAUUCCGUG